rnacentral:rRNA from 1 species
CAAGGAAUUUUCCGCAAUGGACGAAAGUCUGACGGAGCAACGCCGCGUGAAGGAAUAAGGCCUUAGGGUCGUAAACUUCUUUUGUGAGGGAAGAAGAUCUGACGGUACCUCACGAAUAAUGCACGGCUAACUACGUGCCAGCAGCCGCGGUAAUACGUAGGUGCAAAACGUUGUCCGGAUUUACUGGGCGUAAAGGGCGCGCAGGCGGGUUAAAAAGUCAUCAAUUAAAGUCCAUGGCUUAACUGUGGGAUGUUGGUGAAACUGUUAAUCUUGAGGUUUCUAGAGGAGAGUGGAAUUAUCGGUGUAGUGGUGGAAUGCGUAGAUAUCGAUAGGAACACCAGUGGCGAAAGCGGCUCUCUGGGGAACACCUGACGCUGAGGCGCGAAAGCAUGGGUAGCAAACCGG